rnacentral:rRNA from 1 species
GACGUAGGAAGCAAGCGUUGCCCGGAAUUACUGGGCGUAAAGAGCUCGUAGGCGGGGGCGUGCGUCCGAAAGGAAAUCUCAAGGCUCAACCUUGGGGCUUUUUCGGAUACGGCGCUUCUUGAGGGUGAGAGAGGAAAGCGGAAUUCCUGGUGUAGCGGUGAAAUGCGCAGAUAUCAGGAGGAACACCGGUGGCGAAGGCGGGUCUCUGGGCCAUUACUGACGCUGAGGAGCGAAAGCGUGGGGAGCGAACAGG